rnacentral:ncRNA from 1 species
UAAAGUUCGAGUACAUGUAAUAACUUACCAACCCCCGCUAAUGGUUUUAUAAAAUUUAUACAAGGAAUAGGCGUUGCAUGGCUGUCGUCAGCUCGUGUUGUGAAAUGUUUGGUUAAAUCCUUUAACGAGCGCAACCCUUAUUGUUAGUUACUAAUUUAUUAUAAAAAUAAAAGGACUCUAAAAUUAAUGAUAGGUUAAUGGAAGGUGAGGAUGACGUCAAGUCUUCAUGGCCCUUAUGAGUUGGGCUA